rnacentral:rRNA from 1 species
AGGACGAACGCUGGCGGCGUGCUUAACACAUGCAAGUGGAGCGACGAACCAGGGCUUGCCCUGGGGCAGAGCCGCGAACGGGUGAGUAACGCGUGGGUUACCUGCCUCGAUGACCGGGACAACCCGAGGAAACUCGGGCUAAUACCGGAUGUGCCCGCAAGGGGAAAGGAAGCUUCGGCCUCCGCAUCGAGAUGGGCCCGCGGCCCAUUAGCUUGUUGGUGGGGUAAUGGCCUACCAAGGCGACGACGGGUA